GGCUGAGCAGACGGGCCAGUCCCCGGGGACAACGGCGGCCGUGGCGAAUGGCGCUGCCCCCCGGGGGGGGUGACCCCUGCCCCGGCCCCACGCCCGGUCUGUCCCAGCCCCGCCGCUCGGGCUUUGUCCCCGCCGGCCGCCCCGUCCCUCCUCCCGCCCUCCCCCGCCCUCUCGCCAUCCCUCCGCCGCCGGCUCUGCCUCAACUUUAGAGGCAGGUCCCGGAGGCUCCGGGGAGAGGGAGCGGGACCCGCACCGGCAGCGGGUGGAGACAUCUAGCCUCCGUCCCGGGCCGAGCCUCCUCCCCACCCUGCCAGCCUGGGAAGGAUGUGGCGACUCGGAGCCGACGGCCACCUCGGGCAGCACCGGCCCCAGCGGGGCGAACAGAGGAGAAACCCGCACUUUGCUUUGAUCAAUGUGCUCCAGCAGCAUCUCUCACCAGGCUGGGGAUGGGGUGCAGCAUCCAGAGCCCAGGGGAGGAGCCAGGCCAACGUGGGGAGACCCCAAACCCCGCAGCACCCUCGCCCUGGACACCAAAGGCUGGAGGAGCCCUGUGGGUGCCUUGGAAUGGGCUUUCCUGCCUGCCUGGCAUGGGUUUGCAGUGACAAAGUGAUACGUGACCAUCGGGCACAGGCUGAUUUGGUCACAUCCCUUCACACCUGCGGAGCCUGGUGAGGGACGUUCUCCCCCAGGGAUGCUCGAGACCCCCUCGUCUCUCCCGGUUGGGGGCAGUUUCUGGACACCCCUGGCAUCCCAGCACCUUUCUGCUCGUUACCUCCCAGCCCAAUUAAGCACCGAACCAGCACAGAAACACCCAUCGGCACCAAGGGAUUGAUCUGCUCCACGCCGGGAUCAACUAGGGGCUGGUUUGCUCCAAAUUAAGAGGAUUUAUCAGCAGUGACGGCAAAGCUGGGAAAGGACCAGUUUGGUCCAUUUAUCCCGAGCCAUUUCCCAGAGUCCAGUGAAACAGCCCCAUAAUCUGGUUUCUGCAGGAUGGGGCAGCAGGUGCCUUUGGGGAUGGUGUGUGGGAGCAGCUCCACGUCCCAGGGGACUGAGGGUCCCUGAAGAGCCGCUGGUGUCCAUGCCUGGGUGUCUGGUGAGUUGUUUGGGGGAUUUACUGGAUGUUUUACGCUGUUUUUUCCCCCAAGAAGCGAGGGAGAUGUGAACAUCAGCAACUCCCCAUCACUCGCCAUCCGAUCUGCAUGGAGCGGCUCCUGCUCUUAGCCAGGGGGGAACAGCGGCAUCGGAUUCAAUCAACCAGUUUCUGGAACAUGUGGGAAUAACCGAAACAGCCCAUAUUGGGCUCAUUUCCCACCCGCAGAGAUCCGCCACUUCAGCCCCUUUUUUCAGCAGAGUUUGAAAUAACUCCACAGGAAUUCAUGUUCAUGCCCAGUCCCUUCUCGCCCCAAAUGACCCAUCAAGGAAAAGUUUACCCUCUGUUGGGAUUUUACAAAUCCUGUGCCUUCAGCCGUCCUCUUUUUGUCCCAGAUGUGAAGUUUUCCCUGGUUGAUCUCUUUCCUUUUUUAAAUCAUCUGCUUUGGAGCCCAGGAUGCUUCCUCGAGACAUGAAUGGGCUCCGGGCAGCCCCGAAUCCCCCUUUGGGUACCAGGGCUGCAUCACCCACAGCAUCUCCAGCAGGAGCUUCAGAUGUGAUUUUUGGGCUGUGAACUGGACCCAAAAGCGAGUCAGGGUGUGUUAUUCACAUGAGAGAUGCGAGGGGCAGGACCCGCCGCUCCGCACCCCCAGGGCUAAAGAGCAGCAACUCUCUGGACUAUAAAUUCCCGAAUUCCCUGGAUGCCCCCAGCCCGGCUGUUAUUGAGAUGCAGGGAACAGGGGGAGAAGGUGACCGCCGACUCCAUAAAUAUUAGCAGGGCCGACGGGGCCGGCGGGCGCAGACAAAGCGCCCAUUGAGCCGCCGGCGCGCCGACCCAGCUGCCGCGGGGAGCCGGGAUGGGGGUCAAGGUCAGAGGUGGGCCCUGCUCGGGUUAUUUUUGGCGAUAUGAGGGGUCCAAGCCUCUUUCCUCAUGCCCAUAAAAUUAAUAAAGCGAAUGUGCCCAUGGGGGAUACGGGUGCUGAUGGCGGGAGGGGAAACUGAGGCAGCAUUGCACCAAGGGGACGGUGCUGGUGUCGUUAUCCCCAAGGGACCCUUUUUAUGAGUCUGCUUCAUACCAUAUAUCCCUAUAGAGUUUCAGAUGGGACAUGCCGGUCCCACUGCACAUCGCCAGCGCCCUGUGCCCGGUUCUCCCAGUGCCAGGGGUUUCUCCAGCUGGAUGGAGAACUGGUGGUUUUGGCCCCAUCUGCCCCCCAGGGCUCAACCCGCUACCACACAAACUUGGGUUUUUAGCAAUGUUUUAGUCCCCGUUAAGCAAUCCCUUAGCAACGCCUGUUUCCAUGGCGAAGAGCAGAGAAACCUCUGCGCUGAUGCUGAGCUUUGCCUUAAAUUAUAAUCCAGUUUAUUUUUAUUUGGGUGCUGCCCCAUAGGUCAGGUCCUCAGCACCCAUGGGUGCUGCCCACCCUGGGGUGGGCUAUGGGCGCCCGUUCUGGGCUCUGGGAUGGGCUGGGGGCACAAAACAAGGGGGCUUUACCUGAGAACAGGAGCCUUGCAAAAAUGGGGUUUGGGGGCACACUGUGCAGCCCAAAAGAGCAGCAGCGGGUGGGCUCUGCCCUUCCACCAGCCUGACUUUCCCAAAGGGACACGCGAGUCGCUGGAAAGUCAGGAUUCCUGCAAGAAAAAUCUACAUGGAAAAGCGGUUUCCUUGUUCUUUUUAGUUUGCAAAAAUCCCAGUGACAUCGUGUGCUGCGCUUGGCGCUCGCAAAGAAAUGGGGUUAAUUCCGCUACCUCUGUCCCCGAUGGGAAAACCCUCCGUUUGGGAGCGAUGGCGGGUUCCUGGGAUGGACCCUCCAUGGGGAUGUUCCCCCCGGUGUCCACCCCACAGCCCAGAAUCAGCACUUCUGUGGGUGCGAGACCCCCGGCGGAUCCCACCUGGUGGCUCUGCCCGUCCCCAUCUCCCCGGGAGCCGAAGGGAAUUCUCCCUCCCCGCGCUUUAUUUUGCUGCAAUGGUACCAAAUCCUUGCAGUGGUUCGUGCCCUGAAGAGCCUUAAAAACCUCCCAAAUCUGACAGCCCAAACCAGCUAUUGCUCCGCUUGUUUCCAAGUGUUCACUAGCCCUGAUUUAUUUAUCCUGGUUCUUUGAAUCCAUCACACGCUUUUAAUCCCAAAUCCUAAGCAGAAUGGGAAAACAACCAACCAACCAAACCUGUAUGUGUCGUUUAGAUGCUUUUGCACUUGUUUAAGGAGGUGGGAUUAUGAUUUCUUCUCACCAAAAGUGCCCCCUGUGCGCCGGGGUCCUGGGCAGGGCUGGAAGAGCCAAGAACCCAUUAUUGGGGUUUCCAAGCAUCAGAACCAUGCGGCUCCUCCAGGAAUAUUUUCCCAGCCCCCAAUGUCCCUGUUCGCGGUGGGGGAAACAAAAUGCAGAUUGUUGGGCCAGAAGGAUGAGGCUUCUGGUGCACGGGGGACAUCUGUGGGCAAACCCUUUGGAUUCUUUCCCUGCUGGCUUGCACAGCCCAAAUCUCCCUCCCCGAUGGGAUUUCAGGGCACCUAACGCUGUUCUUGGCCCUCCGUACCUCUGUUUUGGAAAGCUUUGAAAUUUUGGGGGUACUGGAUGUUCCCCCUGGCUUAGGACCAGCCUCUCUGGCACUGAGCACCCACUAGGCUGGGCUUAAAUCCUUCCCAAAGCUGGACAUGAAGAGCAGUGAGGGUGGAUGAGGCUGUGGGCAGAUUAAGGUCCCCCCAUCCUCCUCAGACCCCCAAACCAGGCUCAGUUUUUCUCACGCACACAUGGGAAAGGGGCAGAAAUUAAUCCUUAUGGAAAUGUAUUUAAAUUAAUUCCCUGCCUGGACA